UCUCCUUUUAUCUUUCUCUAUAAAUCACAAAAUGCAGUCUCUGUCAUUCUGUCUCUGUUUUUUCAUCUGCUCUUUUUUAUUUCUCACCCUUUUUGACAUUUUACAUCUCUCUAUCUCCUAAUCCCUUAUCUCUCGCAUUUUGCCUCUUAUUUUCCCUUGCCCUCGCUUUCUUACGUUGUGCGUCUCUCUCUCUCUCUCUCUCUCUCU
rnacentral:misc_RNA from 1 species